CGCCCUUCCUACGGGGGGCAGCAGUCGGGAAUAUUGGUCAAUGGACGAAAGUCUGAACCAGCAAUGCCGCGUGAGUGAUGAAGGUCUUCGGAUCGUAAAGCUCUGUCUUUGGGGACGAAUAAAUGACGGUACCCGAGGAGGAAGCCCCGGCUAACUACGUGCCAGCAGCCGCGGUAAUA
rnacentral:rRNA from 1 species